rnacentral:rRNA from 1 species
GGGGAAUAUUGCACAAUGGGCGAAAGCCUGAUGCAGCAACGCCGCGUGAGUGAUGAAGGUCUUCGGAUUGUAAAGCUCUGUCUUUUGGGACGAUAAUGACGGUACCAAAGGAGGAAGCCACGGCUAACUACGUGCCAGCAGCCGCGGUAAUACGUAGGUGGCGAGCGUUGUCCGGAUUUACUGGGCGUAAAGGGUGCGUAGGCGGAUGUUUAAGUGAGAUGUGAAAUACCCGGGCUUAACUUGGGUGCUGCAUUUCAAACUGGAUAUCUAGAGUGCAGGAGAGGAGAAUGGAAUUCCUAGUGUAGCGGUGAAAUGCGUAGAGAUUAGGAAGAACACCAGUGGCGAAGGCGAUUCUCUGGACUGUAACUGACGCUGAGGCA